rnacentral:rRNA from 1 species
ACACACACUUCAGAGUUUGAUCCUGGCUCAGGAUGAACGCUGGCGGCGUGCCUAAUACAUGCAAGUCGAGCGAACAGACGAGGAGCUUGCUCCUUUGACGUUAGCGGCGGACGGGUGAGUAACACGUGGGUAACCUACCUAUAAGACUGGAAUAACUUCGGGAAACCGGAGCUAAUACCGGAUAAUAUUUCGAACCGCAUGGUUCGAUAGUGAAAGAUGGCUCUGCUAUCACUUAUAGAUGGACCUGCGCCGUAUUAGCUAGUUGGUAAGGUAACGGCUUACCAAGGCAACGAUACGUAGCCGACCUGAGAGGGUGAUCGGCCACACUGGAACUGAGACACGGUCCAG